rnacentral:rRNA from 1 species
UACGAAGGGGGCUAGCGUUGCUCGGAAUCACUGGGCGUAAAGGGUGCGUAGGCGGGUUCUUAAGUCAGAGGUGAAAUCCUGGAGCUCAACUCCAGAACUGCCUUUGAUACUGAGAGUCUUGAGUAUGGGAGAGGUGAGUGGAACUGCGAGUGUAGAGGUGAAAUUCGUAGAUAUUCGCAAGAACACCAGUGGCGAAGGCGGCUCACUGGCCCAUAACUGACGCUGAGGCACGAAAGCGUGGGGAGCAAACAGG